UAAGCACAAGCAGCCCAAACAUCACUACAUUACUGAUCUCUACUUGGGACAAUAACAUGAAGUUAUUAUAAUAGGGCCUUCUAAUAGGAGUUCUUGAAUGUCAACAUCAUGUAUUUGUCGAUUUUUUAAGUCCUCCUUGGAAUGAGCAAGUUGUAGCAAAGCAACAAAUAAAAAACCCAAGGAGCAUCUGGGCAAGUGUUGG